UGACCAAGAUGCUGUAUUAUCUCACUCCCUGAAAACAAAGGCAUAGAAUUCAAGAUUCAGAGUGUGGCUAAUAUGAAGCAUGGAGGUCUUCCUUCUGCCCUGAUCAUAGGGAAAUUAAAGCAGGAAGAUAGACUUGCUGGUGCAUAUCCAACAUUCUCUUCACUCCCAAAUCCUGGGGACAGGAAGAAACUGUUGAACAUUUUGAAUCACCGAAUCAAAUGUGACAAAAUCUCUGCUAAGGUUUGGCUAAGAAUGUAGAAUGUGAAUUAGAAGAUGGAUUUGAAAGUACCUUGCAAAUUACAAUGUGCUGGACACACAGAAGGCAUCAUUGUUGGGAGUGUUGCUUCCUGGAAUAGUAAAAGCAGCCCCGAUUUAAGGAAGGCAUCUAGAAUCAUCUGUUUUCUAGCUGACUACUCAGGUAAUGCCAGUAAAAUAGAUUGGCAAGAGAAACUGGCAAGUCCUUCCUAAAAAGAAGUUUCAAAAUAACCAGAGAGCAUGCAUGAACUCAACUCAAUCUUCAAUAAAGUUUG
rnacentral:lncRNA from 1 species